rnacentral:rRNA from 1 species
UGCAAGUCGUACGCACUGGCCCAACUGAUUGAUGGUGCUUGCACCUGAUUGACGUUGGAUCACCAGUGAGUGGCGGACGGGUGAGUAACACGUAGGUAACCUGCCCCGGAGCGGGGGAUAACAUUUGGAAACAGAUGCUAAUACCACAUAACAACAAAAGCCACAUGGCUUUUGUUUGAAAGAUGGCUUUGGCUAUCACUCUGGGAUGGACCUGCGGUGCAUUAGCUAGUUGGUAAGGUAACGGCUUACCAAGGCGAUGAUGCAUAGCCGAGUUGAGAGACUGAUCGGCCACAAUGGAACUGAGACACGGUCCAUACUCCUACGGGAGGCAGCAGUAGGGAAUCUUCCACAAUGGGCGCAAGCCUGAUGGAGCAACACCGCGUGAGUGAAGAAGGGUUUCGGCUCGUAAAGCUCUGUUGUUGGAGAAGAACGUGCGUGAGAGUAACUGUUCACGCAGUGACGGUAUCCAACCAGAAAGUCACGGCUAACUACGUGCCAGCAGCCGCGGUAAUACGUAGGUGGCAAGCGUUAUCCGGAUUUAUUGGGCGUAAAGCGAGCGCAGGCGGUUGCUUAGGUCUGAUGUGAAAGCCUUCGGCUUAACCGAAGAAGUGCAUCGGAAACCGGGCGACUUGAGUGCAGAAGAGGACAGUGAAACUCCAUGUGUAGCGGUGGAAUGCGUAGAUAUAUGGAAGAACACCAGUGGCGAAGGCGGCUGUCUGGUCUGCAACUGACGCUGAGGCUCGAAAGCAUGGGUAGCGAACAGGAUUAGAUACCCUGGUAGUCCAUGCCGUAAACGAUGAGUGCUAGGUGUUGGAGGGUUUCCGCCCUUCAGUGCCGGAGCUAACGCAUUAAGCACUCCGCCUGGGGAGUACGACCGCAAGGUUGAAACUCAAAGGAAUUGACGGGGGCCCGCACAAGCGGUGGAGCAUGUGGUUUAAUUCGAAGCUACGCGAAGAACCUUACCAGGUCUUGACAUCUUGCGCUAACCUUAGAGAUAAGGCGUUCCCUUCGGGGACGCAAUGACAGGUGGUGCAUGGUCGUCGUCAACUCGUGUCGUGAGAUGUUGGGUUAAGUCCCGCAACGAGCGCAACCCUUGUUACUAGUUGCCAGCAUUAAGUUGGGCACUCUAGUGAGACUGCCGGUGACAAACCGGAGGAAGGUGGGGACGACGUCAGAUCAUCAUGCCCCUUAUGACCUGGGCUACACACGUGCUACAAUGGACGGUACAACGAGUCGCAAGCUCGCGAGAGUAAGCUAAUCUCUUAAAGCCGUUCUCAGUUCGGACUGUAGGCUGCAACUCGCCUACACGAAGUCGGAAUCGCUAGUAAUCGCGGAUCAGCAUGCCGCGGUGAAAACGUUCCCGGGCCUUGCACUCACCGCCCGUCA